GUAUUGGAGAACGGUCAUCCUGUGAGCCAACCCUUACCCCGUCUACUUCUUCGAACCUUCUCUGUAUCAUUUGGUGUCAUCAUGUUCGCGUUGGAUCGGUCCCAACUCGAAGUGGAAACCACGUUACAAGACCCGGCUGGAUUGACUGGCGAGUAUUGCAGGGUGUCACUCCUCUUCACCAAAGUCAACUGAGAUGGACUCCAGCUCACCUUUGACCCUAAUGAGGAAACGCAUUGUGGAGAAUGCAUGGAUGGAUGGAUGGAAUCCUGAGUGACAAUGCUCAUAGGCAUAAUUCAUCUGGCGGCGGAAAUCGGGGAUGGCAGAGAAACACCAGCGAUGGCACCAGCGUGAGUGCGGAGCAGUGCCACAUGCAGGAAACAGGUGCCAGCGACAAUUUCAUUGUUUCCAAGGGGCAGGAGAGAUUGGAUGCGACAGUCAUAAGUGGAAAAAGAGUUUUUCUUGUUUCUUAAAAAUACAAAUAAAAAAUGUUUUUUUUUUUUUU